rnacentral:rRNA from 1 species
CCGUUUCUGAAACCAGUAGUGAAGUAUGUUGUUUAAUUAGAUUAUACACAAAAAACCUUACCACAAAAAAAAAAUACAUUUGAAUAUUUUACCGGUGUUGCACGGCUGUUUUUAGUUAAUGUCGUGAGAUUGUGGUUUGUUCCAUUAAAUUAACGUAAACCCUUAGUUUAUUUUUUUUAUAUAAAGUAGUUCGCCGUUAUAUUGGUGAGAUAAAAGGGA